rnacentral:misc_RNA from 1 species
GAUGAAGAACGCAGCAAAAUGCGAUAAGUAAUGUGAAUUGCAGAAUUCAGUGAAUCAUCGAAUCUUUGAACGCACAUUGCGCCCGCCAGUAUUCUGCGGGCAUGCCUGUUCGAGCGUCAUUUCAACCCUCAAGCACAGCUUGGUGUUGGGACUCGCGUUAAUUCGCGUUCCCCAAAUUGAUUGGCGGUCACGUCGAGCUUCCAUAGCGUAGUAGUAAAACCCUCGUUACUGGUAAUCGUCGCGGCCACGCCGUUAAACCCCAACUUCUGAAUGUUGACCUCGGAUCAGGUAGGAAUACCCGCUGAACUUAAGCAUAUCAAUAAGCGGAGGA